GAGGGUAUAGGUCAGUGGUAGAGCGCUUACUUUGCAUGCAUGAGGUCCUGGGUUCGAUCCCCAGUGCCUCUG
rnacentral:tRNA from 1 species